rnacentral:misc_RNA from 1 species
GCCAAUUGGUCACUAAGCCAGCACAACUAAAGAAGGCCUUACUUUACCUUCGAAGGUGGCUUCAGGAGUUCUUGAUACUAAAUACCAAGCCUCUUUCAUCAUUUCCUUUACAAAAUCUUUCCCCUCGUAAAACACAAAGAAAAAGAAUCAUGGGAAAGCAUUUUAAACCAAAAUUCAUUUUCAGCCUCUACUUACAUCAUGGGUAUUAGGACGUCUUAUACAAAAGAGACCAUAUUUGAACCUUUCUACACAGGCGAAGAUCGGAAAGAAACUUGACUGAAAGAUGUCGAGUAGCCUUUCUCUGACUUGGAACAAUGGGCGCAAAGGAAUGGCUAACACUAUGAAGCGACUAGACAGAGAGCACUGGCAUUGAAUGAAUAGAACUUUUUCUGGAGGCCCAUGUCAUAAAAUUGCAAAAUCAGUCUCAAUAAUGACUUGGCUCUAGCAUAAGGGAAAGGAGAGAGAUGGCUAUCCCUCUUACUCGUCUUUCAAUCUGAAAUAGGUCCUUCAGAAGAUAGUGGAUCACUGGAGUGAAGCAAGGUGCUCCUUUUCAUUUGGUCCAAAAGAAAGGUAAAGAGCUAUAAUAUGCAUGAUGUUUGUAAGUUUGGCA